GACGAACGCUGGCGGCGUGCUUAACACAUGCAAGUCGAACGCUGAAGCCUGGAGCUUGCUCUGGGUGGAUGAGUGGCGAACGGGUGAGUAACACGUGAGUAACCUGCCCCUGACUCUGGGAUAAGCGCUGGAAACGGCGUCUAAUACUGGAUACGACCCAUAGAGGCAUCUCUUGUGGGUGGAAAGAUUUUUCGGUUGGGGAUGGACUCGCGGCCUAUCAGCUUGUUGGUGAGGUAAUGGCUCACCAAGGCGACGACGGGUAGCCGGCCUGAGAGGGUGACCGGCCACACUGGGACUGAGACACGGCCCAGACUCCUACGGGAGGCAGCAGUGGGGAAUAUUGCACAAUGGGCGCAAGCCUGAUGCAGCAACGCCGCGUGAGGGAUGACGGCCUUCGGGUUGUAAACCUCUUUUAGUAGGGAAGAAGCGAAAGUGACGGUACCUGCAGAAAAAGCACCGGCUAACUACGUGCCAGCAGCCGCGGUAAUACGUAGGGUGCAAGCGUUGUCCGGAAUUAUUGGGCGUAAAGAGCUCGUAGGCGGCUUGUCGCGUCUGCUGUGAAAUCCCGGGGCUCAACUCCGGGCCUGCAGUGGGUACGGGCAGGCUAGAGUGCGGUAGGGGAGAUUGGAAUUCCUGGUGUAGCGGUGGAAUGCGCAGAUAUCAGAGGAACACCGAUGGCGAAGGCAGAUCUCUGGGCCGCUACUGACGCUGAGGAGCGAAAGCAUGGGGAGCGAACAGGAUUAGAUACCCUGGGUAGUCCAUGCCGUAAACGUUGGGAACUAGAUGUAGGGCCUGUUCCACGGGGUUCUGUGUCGUAGCUAACGCAUUAAGUUCCCUGCCUGGGGAGUACGGCCGCAAGGCUAAAACUCAAAGGAAUUGACGGGGGCCCGCACAAGCGGCGGAGCAUGCGGAUUAAUUCGAUGCAACGCGAAGAACCUUACCAAGGCUUGACAUAUUCGAGAACGCCCCAGAGAUGGGGAACUCUUUGGACACUCGUUUACAGGUGGUGCAUGGUUGUCGUCAGCUCGUGUCGUGAGAUGUUCGGUUAAGUCCGGCAACGAGCGCAACCCUCGUCCUAUGUUGCCAGCGGUUCGGCCGGGAACUCAUGGGAUACUGCCGUGGUCAACACGGAGGAAGGUGGGGAUGACGUCAAAUCAUCAUGCCCCUUAUGUCUUGGGCUUCACGCAUGCUACAAUGGCCGGUACAAUGGGUUGCGAUACCGUGAGGUGGAGCGAAUCCCAAAAAGCCGGUCUCAGUUCGGAUUGGGGUCUGCAACUCGACCCCAUGAAGUCGGAGUCGCUAGUAAUCGCAGAUCAGCAACGCUGCGGUGAAUACGUUCCCGGGCCUGCACUC
rnacentral:rRNA from 1 species